rnacentral:misc_RNA from 1 species
GAAAUUUUUGCAAACGCAUCCCUACAGAUGUUGACUUACCUGGGAUUGAUUGUGACAAGACUAUAAUGGUAACUUUAAAACAUGAUGACAAGUUACAGGAUGGCUCAGAAUGUGCUUUCCAGUGUGCGCUGCUCUACACUACAGUAUUUGGUCAGCGAAGAAUUCGCGUCUCCACUCUUUCUCUACCUUGCACCAGUAUGCUGAAUAACCUCUUCCGAUCAGCUGACUUAGACACUCAGUUCGCAUGUUUUCUGAAGCAAGCGGCAAAUGAAGUUCCUU